CAUAACCUUUUGAAACUGGGUAUAAUACCCGAUAGGUCUCGAUUGCUGGAAUGCAUCGAGAUUUAAAGCUCCGGCGCCUAAGGAUGGGUCUGCGGCCUAUCAGGUAGUAGUGGGUGUAGCGUACCUACUAGCCUACGACGGGUACGGGUUGAGAGAGCAAGAGCCCGGAGAUGGAUUCUGAGACACGAAUCCAGGCCCUACGGGGUGCAGCAGGCGCGAAAACUUUACAAUGCUGGCAACAGCGAUAAGGGAACCUCGAGUGCCAGGUUACAAAUCUGGCUGUCGAGAUGCCUAAAAAGCAUUUCAUAGCAAGGGCCGGGCAAGACCGGUGCCAGCCGCCGCGGUAACACCGGCGGCUCGAGUGGUAACCCCCCCCUAUUGGGUCUAAAGGGUCUGUAUCCGGCCGGAUAAGUCUCUUGAGAAAUCUGGCAGCUUAACUGUCAGGCUUUCAGGAGAUACUGUCUGGCUCGAGGCCGGGAGAGGUGAGAGGUACUUCACGGGUAGGGGUGAGAUCUUGUAAUCCUUGAAGGAGCACCAGUGGCGAAGGCGUCUCACCACAACAGACCUGUUGAGGGCCGAACGAUAACUACUGGUGCAACAGCAUUAUAUAAGAGCGAGUCCUUCCCCGCCGGAGACACUCCCUAGGAGUCGACGACCACGCGACAACUGUUGAUGUCGCUCUAACUCACCCGGGCAACGACCCAGACUGGUUACUCCGGCAGCCUGGAUGAUAAUUUGAUUAAUUUGGCCAGAGACACUCACCCGGGGGUGUUACUUUGCUUUUAAUAUGAAAUAAAACGCGUUAACUCUUAGCGGCGCCUGUUGUACUUUGAGGGCUGGACACGAGAUCUUGCCCAGCAUUAGAUAAAAGGUGCUUUUAG
rnacentral:rRNA from 1 species